GGGACGUGGAGUGUGUCUGGAUUGUCAAGCAGACGACAGCCGACGGUGGCUUCUGUAAAGGACAUAGAAGCAUAAACCUGCCGUGCAGCUUAAUGAGCCGAAUCAAUCCAACUGAAGAGGAGGCAGCCAAGGUUCAAAGUCAUGGGUCAGGGGUGAGUGCGCCAUCGAUACAAGGCGGAUGAGGCAGACGGAGGUGCCACUGCGCACGGUAACUCAGGAGGCAGAGGAUGGAAGUAAACAUUAUGGAGAAAAAGAUUUCAAAGGCAUAUGCAGGCUUAUUUUCAGUAUAAAUAUGUGAAUGACGAGACUAGACUAGAC
rnacentral:lncRNA from 1 species